UGGGCGUAAGCGAGCGCAGGCGGUUUUUUAAGUCUGAUGUGAAAGCCCUCGGCUUAACCGAGGAAGUGCAUCGGAAACUGGGAAACUUGAGUGCAGAAGAGGACAGUGGAACUCCAUGUGUAGCGGUGAAAUGCGUAGAUAUAUGGAAGAACACCAGUGGCGAAGGCGGCUGUCUGGUCUGUAACUGACGCUGAGGCUCGAAAGCAUGGGUAGCGAACAGGAUUAGAUACCC
rnacentral:rRNA from 1 species